rnacentral:lncRNA from 1 species
GACCAAGAAUAGGAGUACUCCAAACUCCUGCUAUUGUGAGUAAUCAGAUGUUCAUCUUAAUUAUCUAAAGUGGUUUAUACUUGUUUUAAGAUUUUAAAGAAUAAGGCACUUAAUUUGCAAAUUAUUAUGUUUUACAUUUUAAAUGUUGGUUAAAUGAAUGAGAUUUAUAAAUUAUUCUGAAACUAAAUGUUGAUUUUCGAAAUAGAGUAAGUGGAGGCUAUACAUUCGUAUUAUAUAUAUAUACAUGAUUUGAAUUGAUGGCUUAUGAAAUUGUGGUAGCAUGAAUGGCUGAAAUUGUGGUUUUGUGAAUUAUAUAAAUUGUUUUGUCUUACAUUGACAGGUUGGAUAGUACUAUAUUAGCCAUGUUAUGCUGUCGAAAUUUUAUUGAUUUGGUGGGUUAUGUAUUUAGCUUACUGUAGUGGGCGGGUUUUCGUGGACCAACCUAUUAGAGGGGCACGGUAAACCUCGUUAUAUUUUACCUUAGUAUGAGAGGCGCGGAGGGUAUCUCCUAAGGUAAGUUUAGAGUUCACUUCACGCUGAACCACCACGUGAGGAUGAAACUCAGCCAAUGCUAAUGAAUGGCUAUAUUUUAAAAGUAAAGACAUGGUUUAUGGGUAUAUGUCAUUUUAACAUCCUUGGCGGACUCGGUUGGAUGCACGGGCCAAGGUGUCCCCGAGUAUGAGUUUUGGCACAAGCCAAGUUUUUAAGAGAAUCAUAAGCCUUGUUGAUUAUUUUGAUGAAAUGUAAUUGUUUUAUAGGAAUUGAAAUGAGUUUUGAAUGUUAUGAACUAUAUUAUGAUGGGAUGAUUUAACUGUCUCCAUUUACUCGGCUUUAGAUGUUAUAGAUGAAUUUUGCUUACUCACUGGGUUUGUAAAAACUCACCCCUUCUUUUUAUCCAUUUC